rnacentral:rRNA from 1 species
GACGAACGCUGGCGGCGUGCUUAACACAUGCAAGUCGAACGGAAAGGCCCUGCUUUUGUGGGGUGCUCGAGUGGCGAACGGGUGAGUAACACGUGAGUAACCUGCCCUUGACUUUGGGAUAACUUCAGGAAACUGGGGCUAAUACCGGAUAGGAGCUCCUGCUGCAUGGUGGGGGUUGGAAAGUUUCGGCGGUUGGGGAUGGACUCGCGGCUUACCAGCUUGUUGGUGGGGUAGUGGCUUACCAAGGCUUUGACGGGCAGCCGGCCUGAGAGGGUGACCGGCCACAUUGGGACUGAGAGACGGCCCAGACUGGUACGGGAGGCAGCAGUGGGGAAUAAUGCACAAUGGGCGCAAGCCUGAGGCAGCAGCGCCGCGUGCGGGAUGACGGCCUUCGGGUUGUAAACCGCUUUCGCCUGUGACGAAGCGUGAGUGACGGUAAUGGGUAAAGAAGCACCGGCUAACUACGUG